AUUGAACGCUGGCGGCAUGCCUUACACAUGCAAGUCGAACGGCAGCACGGGAGCAAUCCUGGUGGCGAGUGGCGAACGGGUGAGUAAUACAUCGGAACGUGCCCAGUAGUGGGGGAUAGCCCGGCGAAAGCCGGAUUAAUACCGCAUACGACCUACGGGUGAAAGCGGGGGAUCGCAAGACCUCGCGCUAUUGGAGCGGCCGAUGGCAGAUUAGGUAGUUGGUGAGGUAAAGGCUCACCAAGCCAACGAUCUGUAGCUGGUCUGAGAGGACGACCAGCCACACUGGGACUGAGACACGGCCCAGACUCCUACGGGAGGCAGCAGUGGGGAAUUUUGGACAAUGGGCGCAAGCCUGAUCCAGCCAUGCCGCGUGCGGGAAGAAGGCCU
rnacentral:rRNA from 1 species